AGUGAAAUUGCUGGGUCAUAUGGUUACUCUGUGUUUAACUUUUUGAAGAACUGCCAAACUGUUGUCUAACGUGGCUACACCAUUUUACCAUCCCAUCAGCAAU
rnacentral:pre_miRNA from 1 species